ensembl:snRNA U4 U4 spliceosomal RNA
AGCUUUGCACAGUGGCAGUAUCAUAGCCAAUAAGGCUUAUCUGAGGCACAAUUAUUGCUAAUAGAAAAAUGAUAAAAAUGAACCUAUUUACAGGGC